AUAUUUUUUAUAGCUGAUCGACUUUUCCUUUGUUCUGCCUUUUAGGGUUUGGGUGCCAGUGAUGAACUGCCGCUGUUUUUCCAGGUGGACAAUCAAAUUCACCUAGGAAACGGCAUAUUCCUGGAGCAGGAAAAAUGGGCAUGGCUGCUUUCGCGUCCGAGAGACAGCUUGUUCUGUAAGGAGGCGACCAAGCUUCUGUGGGGUGUGAGUGCCCUCCACAACAGGAGCAUCACAGGAGCCCCUUGUCGGCGCUAUGUGCGCUCAGAAAACCAGGCACCACCCAGGAGGGCACUCACGCCUAAGAAAUUGGAGGCAGUCGGAAAUGCCUUCAGCAAGUACAUUGCUGGGACACCAAGUGA
rnacentral:lncRNA from 1 species